rnacentral:misc_RNA from 1 species
GUGCAACUACGGCGGGGAAGAAGCUGACUUAUGAAAUUGCUUUCGCCGCUCCCUAGCUUCCACCGGUGGAUCAUCGAUCAUGUUGUAUUUAAAGAAGACUUAGAACGUCCGUGUUUUCUUUCUCCUUGCCUUGUUCAACAUCGUGCAUCUUCUUUACCGGAGACUAGCGUGUUCCUUUUCGGUGCGAGACAAAUCAGGUAGAGGCUGUUAUAAGUAUGGAUUGUUAGUGUACCGUAUCAGACAAGCUGUUACAUUGGUAUGUGUUUAAAAAUAACGGGUAUUAAUAAGUUUCAGAUACAGCAUGUAAUCU